rnacentral:rRNA from 1 species
GACAGAGGGUGCAAACGUUGUUCGGAAUUACUGGGCGUAAAGCGCGUGUAGGCGGCAAGGCAAGUCGGAUGUGAAAGCCCACGGCUCAACCGUGGAAGUGCACCCGAAACUGCCUAGCUAGAGUCUCGGAGAGGAAGGUGGAAUGCUUGGUGUAGCGGUGAAAUGCGUAGAUAUGUCACAGAACACCGAUCGCGAAGGCAGCUAACGAAACUAUCACUGACACUGAUGCACGACAGCGUGGGGAGCGAACAGG